ACGCUGGCGGCAGGCCUAACACAUGCAAGUCGAGCGGUAGAGAGAAGCUUGCUUCUCUUGAGAGCGGCGGACGGGUGAGUAAUGCCUAGGAAUCUGCCUGGUAGUGGGGGAUAACGUCCGGAAACGGACGCUAAUACCGCAUACGUCCUACGGGAGAAAGCAGGUGACCUUCGGGCCUUGCGCUAUCAGAUGAGCCUAGGUCGGAUUAGCUAGUUGGUGGGGUAAUGGCUCACCAAGGCGACGAUCCGUAACUGGUCUGAGAGGAUGAUCAGUCACACUGGAACUGAGACACGGUCCAGACUCCUACGGGAGGCAGCAGUGGGGAAUAUUGGACAAUGGGCGAAAGCCUGAUCCAGCCAUGCCGCGUGUGUGAAGAAGGUCCUCGGAUUGUAAAGCACUUUAAGUUGGGAGGAAGGGCAGUAAAUUAAUACUUUGCUGUUUUGACGUUACCGACAGAAUAAGCACCGGCUAACUCUGUGCCAGCAGCCGCGGUAAUACAGAGGGUGCAAGCGUUAAUCGGAAUUACUGGGCGUAAAGCGCGCGUAGGUGGUUCGUUAAGUUGGAUGUGAAAUCCCCGGGCUCAACCUGGGAACUGCAUUCAAAACUGACGAGCUAGAGUAUGGUAGAGGGUGGUGGAAUUUCCUGUGUAGCGGUGAAAUGCGUAGAUAUAGGAAGGAACACCAGUGGCGAAGGCGACCACCUGGACUGAUACUGACACUGAGGUGCGAAAGCGUGGGGAGCAAAC
rnacentral:rRNA from 1 species